GACGAACGCUGGCGGCGUGCUUAACACAUGCAAGUCGAACGAAGUGGGAACGGGUGAGUAAUACGUGGGUAACCUCCCUCCUUUUUGGGAUAAGCCUUGGAAACGGGGUCUAAACCGAAUAGAUGGGCUCGCGGCCUAUCAGCUUGUUGGUGGGGUGAUGGCCUACCAAGGCGGUGACGGGUAGCCGGCCUGAGAGGGUGACCGGCCACAUUGGGACUGGGACACGGCCCAGACUCCUACGGGAGGCAGCAGUGGGGGAUCUUCCGCAAUGGACGGAAGUCUGACGGAGCAACGCCGCGUGAGUGGUGACGGCCUUCGGGUUGUAAAGCUCUGUUAAUCGGGACGCGGUACCGGAAGAGAAAGCCACGGCUAACUACGUGCCAGCCGCCGCGGUAAUUC
rnacentral:rRNA from 1 species